rnacentral:rRNA from 1 species
AUACGUAGGUGGCAAGCGUUAGUCCGGAUUUACUGGGCGUAAAGGGAGCGUAGGCGGAUUUUUAAGUGGGAUGUGAAAUCCCCGGGCUCAACCCGGGGGCUGCAUUCCAAACUGGAAAUCUAGAGUGUCGGAGAGGAAAGCAGAAUUCCUAGUGUAGCGGUGAAAUGCGUAGAGAUUAGGAAGAAUACCAGUGGCGAAGGCGGCUUUCUGGACGAUAACUGACGCUGAGGCUCGAAAGCGUGGGGAGC